CCUACGGGAGGCAGCAGUGGGGAAUAUUGGACAAUGGGCGAAAGCCUGAUCCAGCAAUGCCGCGUGAGUGAUGAAGGCCUUAGGGUUGUAAAGCUCUUUUACCCGGGAUGAUAAUGACAGUACCGGGAGAAUAAGCUCCGGCUAACUCCGUG
rnacentral:rRNA from 1 species